ACACGACUACAUUAGAUACCCCCGUAGUCCCAGCCCUAAACGAUGCGCGUUAGGUGUAUCGGUGACCACGAGUCACCGAGGUGCCGAAGGGAAACCGUGAAACGUGCCGCCUGGGAAGUACGGUCGCAAGGCUGAAACUUAAAGGAAUUGGCGGGGGAGCACAACAACGGGUGGAGCUUGCGGUUUAAUUGGAUUCAACGCCGGAAAUCUUACCGGGACCGACAGCAACAUGAAGGCCAGGCUGAAGACUUUGCCGGAUUAGCUG
rnacentral:rRNA from 1 species